rnacentral:rRNA from 1 species
GACGUAGGGCGCGAGCGUUGUCCGGAUUUAUUGGGCGUAAAGAGCUCGUAGGCGGCUUGUCGCGUCGAAUGUGAAAACUCGGGGCUCAACUCCGAGCUUGCAUUCGAUACGGGCAGGCUAGAGUUCGGUAGGGGAGACUGGAAUUCCUGGUGUAGCGGUGAAAUGCGCAGAUAUCAGGAGGAGCACCGGUGGCGAAGGCGGGUCUCUGGGCCGAUACUGACGCUGAGGAGCGAAAGCGUGGGGGAGCGAACAGG